rnacentral:lncRNA from 1 species
AAAUCAUAACACUUUCCCUCGUUUUUCAUUCUAUCCAUUUUGGCGCUUUUCCUCGUCUCGUCGAUCAGAGCACUCAGCAGUCUGUGGAGUGAACGUCUGAAGAGAUUAAAUAUUAGUUUGGGAAGAAAUGUAACAAGGGCUAAGACUCCCAUCUGUAGUAGCAGCAGCAGUUGACAGUGAAAGUUAAUAAUGGAGGAGGAACUCAUCGUCUCAACUAUCCAAAAGUUUGGAACCACAUGUCUGAUUUUUCGAAUCGCGUCGAUGUCCGUCGAAAAAGGAUAUUUCGCCCCAUCCUCACAGCCAGGUCGUCGGAGUCCACUUCUGCACGACGAUUACUACUCCAAUCGUCCGCCAACUGGGCCGAUACGACACAGGCCAGCGCCAGAACUACGGCGACAAACUGAAAUGGGAUGAUGCAAAUGUAAUAGCAGAACGAAGGCAAACAAAAAAAAGUUAUAGUGAAGAAGAAGAAGCAUUCAUUGUUGAGAAAAUCCUGGGUAAAAGGGAGAAGAAUGGUGUAGUUGAAUAUCUUCUGAAAUGGAUUGCUUAUUCAGAUGAGGAAAAUACUUGGGAGCCCAAUUUAUUGAUGAGAUCAUUUGAACGAAUGAUACGCUCUUCGUGCUAC